CAUAUUAAUAAGCGGAGGAAAAGAAAUUAACUAAGAUUCCCUUAGUAACGGCGAGUGAAGCGGGAGUUAGCCCAGCACUGAAUCCCCUCGGGGACCUGUAGUGUAUGGACGUUUACCAUUCGUCUGCGUUUGUCUGUGAUAUGUCGCAUGGAAUUUCUCGAACACUAGCGAUGGCGAGAGGCCUGUGUCGACGUGGAUGACGCUACGAAUGUGUAUCUGUUCCGAGAGUCAGUUUGUUUGAGAAUGCAAACUAAAGAACGGUGGUAAUUUCCAUCGAAGGCUAAAUACUUCCACGAGACCGAUAUUUGACAAGUACCGCAAGGGAAAGUUGAAAAGCACUUCGGCGAGAGAGUGAAAAGUAUGUGAAACCGCAUGUAGGUAAACGAGCUGGUAACCCUCUUUAGUGUGAGUUUGGUACUCCACGCGAUUCGAACAAUUGGCAAUUGACAAAACAGAUUGAUGAGAUAAUCCUUGUUGUACCCAUGAGAUUUUCUGCGAGUCGUUGGCAGAGAGGGAUACACUCGACCCGU
rnacentral:rRNA from 1 species